GCGGCUUAAUUUGACUCAACGCGGGGUAAUUUACCAGGUAUAACAUGGUAUAAUAUUUUAUCAUGAUAGUGGUGCAUGGCCGUUUCCAAUGGAUGCUGUGAAGUAAUGAUUAAUUUCAACAAGAUGUGAGACCCUCAUUUAGACAGAUGUAGUGAUACAUAUGAAGGAGAGGAUUAAAACAGGUCCGUUAUGCCCUAAGAUAAUCUGGGUUGCACGCGCAAUACAAUAAUAUUUGAUAUUAUAAGGGAUAAUAUAAUGUAAGAUAUAUUUGAACAUGGAAUUGCUAGUAAAUUUUAUUAAAUAAGUAGAAUUGAAUGAGUCCCUGUUCUUUGUACACACCGCCCGUCGCUAUCUAAGAUGGUAUUAUCUAUGAACAAAUUUAUAAAGUGAAUAGAUAGUACUAGAUCUGAUAUAAGUCGUAACAUGGUUGCUGUUGGAGAACCAUUAGCAGGAUCAUAA
rnacentral:rRNA from 1 species